GGAUGUGAGGGCGAUCUGGCUGAAACACCUGUCACCCCAUUGACAGCCACGGUUGAUUUGGCUGAUCUGUCUUGACUAGACGGUUGUCCCCUUCCUCCCUUACCAUUCCAUGUGCAUCCCUCCCAAAGCUGUGUUCUUGUCGACAAGUAUGACCAUCUCUGAUAGAGGAGGACUGGUCUUUGGUCAAGGGUAUACAAGUAGCAGUUCUCCCCUGCUAGAACCUCCAAACAAGCUCUCAAGGUCCAUUUGAAGGAGAAAGUAGGGUAGUCAAGCUUCCAAGACUCCAGACGUAUCCAAAUGAGGGGCUGCAUGUGGCAGUCUGCCUUUCUAA
rnacentral:snRNA from 1 species